GACGAACGCUGGCGGCGUGCUUAACACAUGCAAGUGGAGCGACGAAACCGGGCUUGCCCGGUGGCAGAGCCGCGAACGGGUGAGUAACACGUGGGUAACCUGCCCCGAUGAUUGGGACAACUCCGGGAAACCGGAGCUAAUACCAAAUGUGUUCACAUUCCUGAAGGGGUGUGAGGAAAGGAAGCUUCGGCCUCCGCAUCGGGAUGGGCCCGCGGCCCAUUAGCUUGUUGGUGGGGUAACGGCCUACCAAGGCGACGAUGGGUAGCUGGUCCGAGAGGACGAUCAGCCACACUGGGACUGAGACACGGCCCAGACUCCUACGGGAGGCAGCAGUGGGGAAUCUUGCGCAAUGCGCGAAAGCGUGACGCAGCAACGCCGCGUGCGGGAAGACGGCCUUCGGGUUGUAAACCGCUUUCAGUUGGGACGAAGCUUCGCCGGUGAAUAGCCGGCUGGAGUGACGGUACCUUCACAAGAAGCACCAGCUAACUACGUGCCAGCAGCCGCAGUAA
rnacentral:rRNA from 1 species